rnacentral:rRNA from 1 species
GACGUAGGGCGCGAGCGUUGUCCGGAUUUAUUGGGCGUAAAGAGCUCGUAGGCGGCUUGUCGCGUCGUCCGUGAAAACCUGCAGCUCAACUGCAGACUUGCGGUCGAUACGGGCAGGCUCGAGUUCGGUAGGGGAGACUGGAAUUCCUGGUGUAGCGGUGAAAUGCGCAGAUAUCGGGAGGAACACCCGUAGCGAAGGCGGCACUCUGGGCCGGAACUGACGCUGAGGAGCGAAAGCGUGGGGAGCAAACAGG